AUGAAGGAUGUUAGAGCCUGGGAUGCUGAGGCAGGAUAAUCAUUAGUUACCUGGAAAAGUCUACUAACUAAAGCACUCUUAAAAGAAAUGGACCAUAAUUGCAACAAAACAUUUAGAACAGGAUUUUAAAGUUCCAAUUCAAGCCAAAUAAAAUGAAAAGUAUGGAAAUAAACAUUCAAGAUCCCAAUGGACAAGCCUCAGGAAGAAGCAAACACACACACACACACACACACACACACACCAAAAAAAACCACACAAAAAAACCACAAAAAAACCCACAAAAAAAUGGUUUCAUGGAAGAGGGGUAGAGUAGAUUGCUCCAACAGAAAAGGAAGGUCCUGACAGCUGAGGCUGGAAUAUAGUCAGAACAAGCUUUGUCUACUUCAGAGGGUUGCCUGGAGCUGGCCUGAAGCACUCGGAUACCAACAUCA
rnacentral:antisense_RNA from 1 species